ACUGCUGAGGAGUCCCAUAAUAGGACGAAACGGCCGUCCAGUGU
rfam:Schistosoma rodhaini strain Burundi genome assembly, scaffold: SROB_scaffold0005586